UACACUCGACAUCCUAGCUAUCUGAACACCAAAAAUAAACCACUGUGUUUCCUCAAUUAUGUCAUAUCACUCCAACGUGUCUUUAUCAUUGUUCGCUUCCAAAUAAAAUUAUGCUCGACAGUCGAUCCUAUCGAGCUGAUCGAAAACAUAUUGAAGGUUAAGUUGAAUUUAUUGAACUUCAUUAGCAAGGGCAAGCCUUGCAGUUUUAUUGAACAAACAGACACUGUCAUCAAGCUAAAACAGGAACAUUACAAACAAGAUCGGAGCCGGAGGGGCAUUCCCCAACCAGAUUGGUUCAAGUGUCUCCUAAUAAAACUAAUUUGA